AGUGAACGCUGGCGGUAGGCCUAACACAUGCAAGUCGAACGGCAGCACAGUAAGAGCUUGCUCUUACGGGUGGCGAGUGGCGGACGGGUGAGGAAUACAUCGGAAUCUACUUUUUCGUGGGGGAUAACGUAGGGAAACUUACGCUAAUACCGCAUACGACCUACGGGUGAAAGCAGGGGAUCUUCGGACCUUGCGCGAUUGAAUGAGCCGAUGUCGGAUUAGCUAGUUGGCGGGGUAAAGGCCCACCAAGGCGACGAUCCGUAGCUGGUCUGAGAGGAUGAUCAGCCAAACUGGAACUGAGACACGGUCCAGACUCCUACGGGAGGCAGCAGUGGGGAAUAUUGGACAAUGGGCGCAAGCCUGGUCCAGCCAUACCGCGUGGGUGAAGAAGGCCUUCGGGUUGUAAAGCCCUUUUGUUGGGAAAGAAAAGCAGCAGGUUAAUACCCCGCUGUUCUGACGGUACCCAAAGAAUAAGCACCGGCUAACUUCGUG
rnacentral:rRNA from 1 species